UACAGAGGGUGCAAGCGUUAUUCGGAAUCACUGGGCGUAAAGAGUUCGUAGGCGGUUUGUUAAGUCGAAUGUGAAAGCCCUGGGCUCAAUCCAGGAAGUGCAUUCGAUACUGGCAAGCUGGAGUGCAGGAGAGGAAGGCGGAAUUCCAGGUGUAGAGGUGAAAUUCGUAGAUAUCUGGAGGAACAACAGAGGCGAAGGCGGCCUUCUGGACUGUCACUGACGCUGAGGAACGAAAGCGUGGGGAGCAAAC
rnacentral:rRNA from 1 species